rnacentral:rRNA from 1 species
AUGGUGAUAGAUCAUAAAUGGUGGGGAACCUCACCUCUAUGGUCAAAUCACAAAGAUUUGGUGAAGGGAAAAGUUGGGGAAGCUUUCUUGUUCUCCCUCUUCUUGUCUCCUUUCCUUCUUCCUCAAAGCCCUAAAUCAAAGGGCAGCCAUGGAGGUGGUGAAGGGCGUGGUGCAGCAAGGAGGCACCUGGGGAGGAGUGGGGAAGGAAGGGAGGAGGGAGUAGGCUGGCUGGAGAAGAGAGGAGAAAGGGAUUCUUCCCUUCGGCUUGGGGAAGAGAAGAAAGAUGUGGAGCACGCCUCCUAUGGACAAGGAGAGCUCACAUUGUGA